UACAGAGACUGCAAGCGCUAUUCGGAUUCACUGGGCGUAAAGGGUGCGCAGGCGGCCGUGUGUGUGAGGCGUGAAAGCCCGGGGCUUAACCCCGGAAUUGCACCUCAAACUACAUGGCUAGAGCAUUGGAGAGGGUAGCGGAAUUCACGGUGUAGCAGUGAAAUGCGUAGAUAUCGUGAGGAACACCAGAGGCGAAGGCGGCUACCUGGACAAUUGCUGACGCUCAGGCACGAAAGCGUGGGGAGCAAAAGGG
rnacentral:rRNA from 1 species